CGGUGGCUGCAUUUCGUAUCGGUGACGUUCGACGUUUGAUAGUUCAUCAAAUAGUAGCGCUGUUAUUUGGUCAAUUUGGUCACCUGUCAGCUGCGCUACUGUUUUAGCAGCGCGUUUAGUAGCGACCGGUAAAGUGUCAAGUAAUGAUACUGCGCUGACAAACGGCUUAUACUCACCACCGAAAUGAAGCUUAUGAUAAAUAAAAUACUGCUGCUUGCUGGUCACUGAUCGUUCAGUGGCUACCAUUGGCCAAUCUCACCAACGGGAUAUAAUAAGAACUGAUGCAGGUUUAUAUCUAUUCGGAACAAAGUUAGUACACUUUUUAAACCGAUGUUGGAUUUUUCUCCAGAUACAGGCAACCCACUUAACUUUGGAAGUAGUGCACUGGAUUCGUCUAAAGAUAUUGCCUGAUUUUCUAAAAAUUGCA